AUACUGCGUGCAACACUGUUGUUUGCAGUUUGCGGCGGAAAGAGUUUGUCUUAGGCUUUUGGGUUUGGUGUUAUUUGUAACUUCGCGGAGGAAGACUGCCCAAUAGUUGCAUCUGUCCUUGACAUCAGCUAAGCAGCAGCGGGUAGCAAUCACCCAAGGUAUGCUGAGUUAGUGUCACAGCACACAGCAUGAGAAAUUGCCCCAUUUUCUCAUGAUCACAGGAAUGAUUCUGGUAUUCAGAUUCACCCCAAGUCACCAGCAGAAACAAGCCGGCUACUUGAGGAAGACUUUACUCUUAUAAUGUAAAUGAUUUAAAACAAUAAAGAAUUAAAAAUGACUACUACAUUUUACUUGAUUUCAUACACCUAGUUAGCUCGGAGCUGUGGUAACUGUGGAGGUAGUAGCAGACUGCCACCACUACAGCAGUGACGUCACGGACGUCUCGGGAGUAGCUGACCCCGAGCCGUGGAGGUAGCAGUAGGAUUACCACUACUACUACCCCCACAGCCCCCGCAGCAGCGGUGGCAGCCCGCUACUACCUCCACAGCAGCCGCAGCCGAGAGGAG